CCUACGGGGGGCUGCAGUCAAGAAUCUUCCUCAAUGGCCGAAAGGCUGAAGGAGCGACGCCGCGUGAUCGAAGAAGCCCUUCGGGGUGUAAAGAUCUUUUGUUAGGGAAUAAGCCCCUCCCCAGUUUUUGCAACUACAGUUGCAAAAACUGGGGAGGGGUUGAAGGUACCUAGCGAAUAAGGGGCUGCUAAACUCGUGCCAGCAGCAGCGGUAAUACGAGUGCCCCGAGCGUUAUCCGAAUUUAUUGGGCGUAAAGCGUCCGCAGGCGGUUUAUCACAUCUUCUGUUAAAUCUUCCCGCUUAACGGGAAAACCGCGGAAGAGAUGGAUAAACUAGAGACUGGGAGAGGUAAGCGGAAUUGCUGGUGUAGGGGUUAAAUCCGUUAAUAUCAGCAGGAACACCAAAUGCGAAGGCAGCUUACUGGAACAGUUCUGACGCUCAUGGACGAAAGCGUGGGGAGAGAAUGGGAUUAGAUACCCCUGUAGUC
rnacentral:rRNA from 1 species